GACGAACGCUGGCGGCGUGCUUAACACAUGCAAGUCGAACGGAAAGGCCCUGCUUUUGUGGGGUGCUCGAGUGGCGAACGGGUGAGUAACACGUGAGUAACCUGCCCUUGACUUUGGGAUAACUUCAGGAAACUGGGGCUAAUACCGGAUAGGAGCUACUGCUGCAUGGUGGGGGUUGGAAAGUUUCGGCGGUUGGGGAUGGACUGGCGGCGUAUCAGCUUGUUGGUGGGGUAGGGGCUUACCAAGGCUUUGAUGGGUAGCCGGCCUGGGAGGGUGACCGGCCACAUUGGGACUGAGAUACGGCCCAGACUCCUACGGGAGGCAGCAGUGGGGAAUAUUGCACAAUGGGGGGAAGCCUGAUGCAGCAACGCCGCGUGCGGGAUGACGGCCUUCGGGUUGUAAACCGCUUUCGCCUGUGACGAAGCGUGAGUGACGGUAAUGGGUAAAGAAGCACCGGCUAACUACGUG
rnacentral:rRNA from 1 species